UACGUAGGGGGCAAGCGUUGUCCGGAUUUAUUGGGCGUAAAGAGCGUGUAGGCGGUUGGGUAGGUCCGUUGUGAAAACUCGAGGCUCAACCUCGAGACGCCGAUGGAAACCCCCCAGCUAGAGUCCGGAAGAGGAGAGUGGAAUUCCUGGUGUAGCGGUGAAAUGCGCAGAUAUCAGGAGGAACACCAGCGGCGAAGGCGGCGCUCUGGGCCGGUACUGACACUGAGGAGCGAAAGCGUGGGUAGCAAACAGG
rnacentral:rRNA from 1 species